AAUGAACGCUGGCGGCGCGCCUAACACAUGCAAGUCGAGCGAGAAAGCUUCUUCGGAAGUGAGUACAGCGGCGGACGGUUGAGUAACACGUGGGAAUUUUCCCUUCAGUGAAGAAUACUCUUGAGAAAUCGAGAUUAAUACUGCAUACGUCUCUUACGAGAGAAAGGUGGCUUCUUUGCUACCGCUGAAGGAUAAGCCUGCGGACUAUCAGCUAGUUGGUAGGGUAAAGGCCUACCAAGGCUAUGACGGUUAGCCGGCCUGAGAGGGUGUACGGCCAGACUGGAACUUAGACACGGUCCAG
rnacentral:rRNA from 1 species